ACGAACGCUGGCGGCGUGCUUCACACAUGCAAGUCGAACGGAAAGGCCCUGCUUUUGUGGGGUGCUCGAGUGGCGAACGGGUGAGUAACACGUGAGUAACCUGCCCUUGACUUUGGGAUAACUUCAGGAAACUGGGGCUAAUACCGGAUAGGAGCUCCUGCUGCAUGGUGGGGGUUGGAAAGUUUCGGCGGUUGGGGAUGGACUCGCGGCUUAUCAGCUUGUUGGUGGGGUAGUGGCUUACCAAGGCUUUGACGGGUAGCCGGCCUGAGAGGGUGACCGGCCACAUUGGGACUGAGAUACGGCCCAGACUCCUACGGGAGGCAGCAGUGGGGAAUAUUGCACAAUGGGCGGAAGCCUGAUGCAGAAACGCCGCGUGCGGGAUGACGGCCUUCGGGUUGUAAACCGCUUUCGCCUGUGACGAAGCGUGAGUGACGGUAAUGGGUAAAGAAGCACCGGCUAACUACGUG
rnacentral:rRNA from 1 species